GGAGAGGUGGCUCAGUGGUUUAGAGCACUUGCUGCCUUUGCAGAAGACCAGGGUUAGAUUCCCAGCAUCUACA
rnacentral:tRNA from 1 species